AGAGUUUGAUCCUGGCUCAGGAUGAACGCUAGCGGCAGGCUUAACACAUGCAAGUCGAGGGGUAACAGGGGGCUUGCUCUGCUGACGACCGGCGCACGGGUGCGUAACGCGUAUACAAUCUGCCUUGCACUAAGGGAUAGCCCAGAGAAAUUUGGAUUAAUACCUUAUAGUUUAUUAGGAUGGCAUCAUUUUAAUAAUAAAGAUUACGGUGUAAGAUGAGUAUGCGUCCCAUUAGUUUGUUGGUAAGGUAACGGCUUACCAAGACUACGAUGGGUAGGGGCCCUGAGAGGGGGAUCCCCCACACUGGUACUGAGACACGGACCAGACUCCUACGGGAGGCAGCAGUGAGGAAUAUUGGACAAUGGGCGAGAGCCUGAUCCAGCCAUGCCGCGUGCAGGAAGACGGUCCUAUGGAUUGUAAACUGCUUUUAUACAGGAAGAAUAAGGACUACGUGUAGUCUGGUGACGGUACUGUAAGAAUAAGGACCGGCUAACUCCGUGCCAGCAGCCGCGGUAAUAC
rnacentral:rRNA from 1 species